UACGGAGGAUCCAAGCGUUAUCCGGAAUCAUUGGGUUUAAAGGGUCCGUAGGCGGUUUUGUAAGUCAGUGGUGAAAGCCCAUCGCUCAACGGUGGAACGGCCAUUGAUACUGCAAGACUUGAAUUAUUAGGAAGUAACUAGAAUAUGUAGUGUAGCGGUGAAAUGCUUAGAUAUUACAUGGAAUACCAAUUGCGAAGGCAGGUUACUACUAGUGGAUUGACGCUGAUGGACGAAAGCGUGGGGAGCAAACAGG
rnacentral:rRNA from 1 species